rnacentral:rRNA from 1 species
UACGGGGGGGGCAAGCGUUGCUCGGAAUUACUGGGCGUAAAGGGCUCGUAGGUGGCCAACUAAGUCAGACGUGAAAUCCCUCGGCUUAACCGGGGAACUGCAUCUGAUACUGGAUGGCUUGAGUUUGGGAGAGGGAUGCGGAAUUCCAGGUGUAGCGGUGAAAUGCGUAGAUAUCUGGAGGAACACCGGUGGCGAAGGCGGGUCUCUGGGCCGAUACUGACGCUGAGGAGCGAAAGCGUGGGGAGCGAACAGG